CCCCUAGAUGUUCUGGGCCGCACGCGCGCUACACUGAACAGUUCAACAAGUCUUAACCUUGGCCGAUAGGUCUGGGUAAUCUUUGAACGCUGUUCGUGAUUGGGAUAGACCUUUGCAAUUAUGGGUCUUCAACGAGGAAUUCCUAGUAAACGCAAGUCAUCAGCUUGCAUUGAUUACGUCCCUGCCCUUUGUACACACCGCCCGUCGCACCUUCCGAUUGAAUGGUCCGGUGAAAUCUCGGGACGGCGGCUUGGUCGCUUGCGUCCGACUGCUGAAACUUGAUUAAACCAUAUCAUUUAGAGGAAGGUGAANUCGUANCA
rnacentral:rRNA from 1 species